ACCCUGUCUAGCCUGCCAGAAGUUUGAGAGGGCGAAGACUGUGGCGCCGGAGUUGAAGCCCAUCAAAGUUGUUUCACCAUGGCACAUGAUCGGGGUGGACCUCAUUGGACCCUUCACGAAAUCCAGGAAGGGCAACAGCUGGUGUCUGACGGCGACGAUCACUUGGAGGGAGGCGAUACCCAUUAAGGACGAGACAGGCGAGGCCACCUCCAAGGCGAUGAUGGACAUCUUCAACACCCAUGGUUCUCCUGAGGUCAUCUUGAGUGACCAAGUUCAUGAACGCUGGAACAAGGGGCAAGUCCCUUGAUUGGCACCAGGAAGGGUGGGAGAACAACCUGAAGGUAAUUCUCUUUGCACACAACAGCAGCAUCCAGGCCUCCACCGAGUACGGACGGGAGCCGCAGCUGUUGACUGAGGUAAACAAUGCAAUUGUAUAUACAAUUAUUGUAUAUACUGUCGUCUUUCAAAUUUGUGAUUGACUUAGUGUUGUUGUUUGUCAAUUGCUAUUUUUGUAUAACAUACUUUCAGAUCACUGAAAUCCCACCUGAUGUGGUGGAAGUUGUCGAACCAGAUCAGAACGCCUUCAAAGAUGUGGAGGUUUUUGACCAGGUGAGACUGAACAUCGACAAGGCGCAGGAGAAACAGAAGGAGAGCUACCGGAGCAGAAUCAAGAAGGGGACCAAGUGCUACGACAUCCGGGCGAAUUACUUGGUUUGGAAGAAGGACGAAAGGAAGGCGAGACCUGGGAAACCUCACUGCUCUUUUGCUCCUAGCUGGGGUCACCACCUGUUAAGGGUUACCUCGGUGGAAGCCAACAAUCUUCUCCAGUUGGAGCAGUUGGAUGGUUGACCACUGAAAGCACUGACUCCCUACACUUCGGUGAUGCCCAAUAGACAAAGACCAUCGACUGUCCGAGCCCCCCAGGAGGUAUCCCAUCCAACAGAACCAGUGAGUUCGGAUCAGUCUGAUUCUCUGUGCUCUGAGUUGGAGGGGGACCAGCUUGAGGACCUAGGGGUUCUGCCCAACACACAGACGUGGAUCCACCUGAUGUCCUCCAUUACCAACCACCCUCCAACUUUUCACUACAUCAUCUACAGCUACUGUUAUUGUCAUGUUGUCAUUAUCUGCUAAGAAAGUUAUUGCUCUAUCAUACCGGGCACAUAAUAUGUGAGAUAUACAGAUUAACUAAAAACACUAGCACUGCAAACACACAGAACAACGAGAGCAGCAGUGCCUGGACUUUGCAGUCUCCCUCUUCAAGUCCCCCUUCCGAGACUGGCUGCCUGUUGAGAACAAGUGACAGGCAGAACCUCCCACCCACACAGCAACCACCUCCUCAAUAUUCCACACACCAGAAUUCAGUAUUUUGAUGAU